UACGUAGGGGGCAAGCGUUGUCCGGAUUUAUUGGGCGUAAAGAGCGUGUAGGCGGCCAGAUAAGUCCGCUGUGAAAUCUCGAGGCUCAACUUCGAGCUGUCGGUGGAAACUGUCUGGCUAGAGUCCGGAAGAGGAGAAUGGAAUUCCUGGUGUAGCGGUGAAAUGCGCAGAUAUCAGGAAGAACACCCGUGGCGAAGGCGGCUCUCUGGAACGCAACUGACGCUGAGACGCGAAAGCGUGGGGAGCAAACAGG
rnacentral:rRNA from 1 species